GAUGAACGCUGGCGGCGUGCCUAAUACAUGCAAGUCGAGCGAACAGACGAGGAGCUUGCUCCUCUGACGUUAGCGGCGGACGGGUGAGUAACACGUGGAUAACCUACCUAUAAGACUGGGAUAACUUCGGGAAACCGGAGCUAAUACCGGAUAAUAUAUUGAACCGCAUGGUUCAAUAGUGAAAGACGGUUUUGCUGUCACUUAUAGAUGCAUCCGCGCUGCAUUAGCUAGUUGGUAAGGUAACGGCUUACCAAGGCAACGAUGCGUAGCCGACCUGAGAGGGUGAUCGGCCACACUGGAACUGAGACACGGUCCAGACUCCUACGGGAGGCAGCAGUAGGGAAUCUUCCGCAAUGGGCGAAAGCCUGACGGAGCAACGCCGCGUGAGUGAUGAAGGUCUUCGGAUCGUAAAACUCUGUUAUUAGGGAAGAACAAAUGUGUAAGUAACUAUGCACGUCUUGACGGUACCUAAUCAGAAAGCCACGGCUAACUACGUG
rnacentral:rRNA from 1 species